rnacentral:rRNA from 1 species
UACAGAGGUCUCAGGCGUUGUUCGGAUUCAUUGGGCGUAAAGGGUGUGUAGGUGGCGCGCUAAGUCGGGUGUGAAAUUUCGGAGCUUAACUUCGAAACUGCAUUCGAUACUGGCGUGCUUGAGGACUGGAGAGGAGACUGGAAUUUACGGUGUAGCAGUGAAAUGCGUAGAUAUCGUAAGGAAGACCAGUGGCGAAGGCGGGUCUCUGGACAGUUCCUGACACUGAGACACGAAGGCCAGGGGAGCAAACGGG